GAUGAACGCUGGCGGCGUGCCUAAUACAUGCAAGUCGAGCGAACGGACGAGAAGCUUGCUUCUCUGAUGUUAGCGGCGGACGGGUGAGUAACACGUGGAUAACCUACCUAUAAGACUGGGAUAACUUCGGGAAACCGGAGCUAAUACCGGAUAAUAUUUUGAACCGCAUGGUUCAAAAGUGAAAGACGGUCUUGCUGUCACUUCUAGAUGGAUCCGCGCUGCAUUAGCUAGUUGGUAAGGUAACGGCUUACCAAGGCAACGAUGCAUAGCCGACCUGAGAGGGUGAUCGGCCACACUGGAACUGAGACACGGUCCAGACUCCUACGGGAGGCAGCAGUAGGGAAUCUUACGCAAUGGGCGAAAGCCUGACGGAGCAACGCCGCGUGAGUGAUGAAGGUCUUCGGAUCGUAAAACUCUGUUAUUAGGGAAGAACAUAUGUGUAAGUAACUGUGCACAUCUUGACGGUACCUAAUCAGAAAGCCACGGCUAACUACGUG
rnacentral:rRNA from 1 species